UACGUAGGGGGCAAGCGUUGUCCGGAUUUAUUGGGCGUAAAGAGCGUGUAGGCGGCCAGGUAGGUCAGCUGUGAAAACUCGAGGCUUAACCCCGAGCCUGCAGUGGAUACGGGCAGACUAGAGGUAGGUAGGGGAGAAUGGAAUUCCCGGUGUAGCGGUGAAAUGCGCAGAUAUCGGGAGGAACACCGGUGGCGAAGGCGGUUCUCUGGGCCUUACCUGACGCUGAGGAGCGAAAGCGUGGGGAGCGAACAGG
rnacentral:rRNA from 1 species